rnacentral:rRNA from 1 species
UACAGAGGGUGCGAGCGUUAAUCGGAAUUACUGGGCGUAAAGCGCGCGUAGGCGGCUUUUCAAGUCGGAUGUGAAAUCCCCGGGCUUAACCUGGGAACUGCAUUCGAGACUGUCUAGCUAGAGUAUGGGAGAGGGAAGUGGAAUUUCAGGUGUAGCGGUGAAAUGCGUAGAUAUCGUAAGGAAGACCAGUGGCGAAGGCGGGUCUCUGGACAGUUCCUGACGCUGAGGCACGAAGGUCAGGGGAGCAAACGGG